AAAAAGUAGCUUAAAAUAAAGCAUCUGACCUACAAUCAGCCCAUAUUGUCACAAUCUUUUUGA
rnacentral:tRNA from 2 species